GUCCUUAGUUACCAGCACGUUAUGGUGGCACUCUAAGGAGACUGCCGGUGACAAACCGGAGGGAAGGUGGGGAUGACGUCAAGUCAUCAUGGCCCUUACGGCCUGGGCUACACACGUGCUACAAUGGUCGGUACAAAGGGUUGCCAAGCCGCGAGGUGGAGCUAAUCCCAUAAAACCGAUCGUAGUCCGGAUCGCAGUCUGCAACUCGACUGCGUGAAGUCGGAAUCGCUAGUAAUCGUGAAUCAGAAUGUCACGGUGAAUACGUUCCCGGGCCUU
rnacentral:rRNA from 1 species